UUGUUGUUGUUGUUGUUGUUGUUGUUGUUGUUUACAAAACAGUCAGAGGAAAUCCAAAAGUAUGGAGUAUCAUGCCAACCUCCCAGGCCUUAGGAAACCAUUGACCAAUACCACAGCAAUGCGUGUGAAGUCUCUGCCUUUAUAUAGGUGAGUUCAGGGUGUGAGCUUUCUGGAGGUGUUUAAACCAAUAAGGAGAUACUCUCAUUUAAUUCCAGUUAAACUUCAGUGAGGCUGCUAGAGAGAUCUCAAGUCAAAUUCUAACCAUGUAGGCUAAAUCUGAAUAGAAACAAAGACAGCCUCUGGCCCAUCCGUCUGCUUGGUAAGCUUCCCUUGAUGCAGACUCACUCUCCCAUCUAGGUAGGCAGUAGGGCAGAGGAACAGUUGAGAGCAGAGUAUAAUGACACUGUAGGUGUGGAUAAACCAAUGAGAGCCCUUAUGUUUGUGUGCUGACUUAAAAAGAAAUACUAAGGGCCAGAGGAAGAGGAAGUUUACUGUGAGAUUGUGUUUCCUAGAAAUGUCGGGGAAACUACUUCCAUGAAUUCUCACCAGCAUGGCUGCCUAAACAAGAUCUGAACAAAGACCACAUCAAGAGACAUGUCACAUGAAAAAGGGAGAGAUCCUGUGGCAUGAAUCUUACAAGCAACUAGACAAUGGAAGGAGUAGGAGAAAUCGCCUUCCCUGGGGAAGAGGUCCCAACCCUGAAGUCGUUUACAUACAGGAAUAACACGACUUACAACAUCUGCAACAGGAACUGACGAAUCCCAGGAAGAGGUGGGAGCUUGUGCCAGUGUGGGUGCCCACUCAGUUCUGACCCUGCAAAACCAGCGCUGCAGAAUUUCUUCUAUAGACACAUGCACAAAUGCUAUCCCUCUUGGACCUACAGGAGGCAACAGCCAUUGUUGCCCUGUCCUUUCUCUGCUGCCAUUUAUGAGCUGAGCUUUUAACCAGUCUGCCACAGCCAUGCCUCAGGUCUCCAGGCUACAGCCUACGAUGUGUUAUCUUCUACUAAUAAAUGCGUGGAAUUC
rnacentral:lncRNA from 1 species